rnacentral:rRNA from 1 species
AUGAACGCUGGCGGCGUGCUUAACACAUGCAAGUCGAACGAUGAAGCCCAGCUUGCUGGGUGGAUUAGUGGCGAACGGGUGAGUAACACGUGAGUAACCUGCCCUUGACUCUGGGAUAAGCGCUGGAAACGGCGUCUAAUACCGGAUACGAGCUUCCACCGCAUGGUGAGUUGCUGGAAAGAAUUUCGGUCAAGGAUGGACUCGCGGCCUAUCAGGUAGUUGGUGAGGUAACGGCCCACCAAGCCGACGACGGGUAGCCGGCCUGAGAGGGUGACCGGCCACACUGGGACUGAGACACGGCCCAGACUCCUACGGGAGGCAGCAGUGGGGAAUAUUGCACAAUGGGCGCAAGCCUGAUGCAGCAACGCCGCGUGAUGGACGAAGGCCUUCGGGUCGUAAACCUCUUUUAGCAGGGAAGAAGCGAAAGUGACGGUACCUGCAGAAAAAGCACCGGCUAACUACGUG